rnacentral:lncRNA from 1 species
CCUCACCAACACUGCCACAAUCGCCUCCUCCAAGUAACGUGACAUUGCCUCCUCCAAUGGCUUCCCCACCCACAGAAUCCGCUCCUCCAACUGUUAGUCCUCCACCUAUCCCACCUGCUAGUUCACCACCACCUAUAUCUUCUCCUCCGCCUUCCAGUUCACCACCACCUCAAUCUUCUCCUCCCCCUGCUAGUUCUCCUCCAACUACACCUAGCCCACCAGUUAGUUCAUCACCACCUCCAGAAGUUGAGCCUCCACCUGUCUCACCUCCCCCACAACCAACUGUUCCUACAAGUUCACCUCCACCGCCUCCAAAAGAUGAUCCUCCUCCUACCUCACCUCCACCACAACCAACCACUCCUCCAAGUUCACCUUCACCACCUCCCAAAGUUGAUUCUCCACCUUUUUCACCUCCGCCACCUGCACAGAAUCCGGAUCCUACUCCACCACCACAAUCUCCUGAACCUCCGAAAGGCUCACCCCCUUCACCACCCGUGAAUUCACCUCCAUCACCAGCGUCUGUGCCACCAAAAGGCUCACCUCCUACCCCAGCCUCUGACCCUCCUACAAAUUCACCUCCAUCGCCAGCAUUUACGCCACCACAAGGUUCACCUC